GCAAGUGAUGAUUUAACCAUUCUUCACUUUGACCUGAAAAACUAGUGAUGAUGAUCAAUAACCUGAGU
rnacentral:snoRNA from 1 species